rnacentral:rRNA from 1 species
UGGGGAAUAUUGGACAAUGGGGGCAACCCUGAUCCAGCAAUGCCGCGUGUGUGAAGAAGGCCUUAGGGUUGUAAAGCACUUUCGGUUGGGAAGAGGAAUACUAGGUUAAGAGCUAGGUAUUUGGACAUUACUAACAGAAGAAGCACCGGCUAACUCUGUGCCAGCAGCCGCGGUAAUACAGAGGGUGCGAGCGUUAAUCGGAAUUACUGGGCGUAAAGCGCACGUAGGUGGCGACGUAAGUCGGGUGUGAAAGCCCCGGGCUCAACCUGGGAAUUGCAUUCGAGACUGCAUUGCUGGAGUACGGAAGAGGAGGGCGGAAUUCCCUGUGUAGCGGUGAAAUGCGUAGAUAUCGGGAGAACAUCAGUGGCGAAGGCGGCCCUCUGGUCCAGUACUGACACUCAAGUGCGAAAGCGUGGGGAGCAAACAGGAUUAGAUACCCCUGUAGUCCCUGAGCGGGCUGGCAAGGCGCAU